CCUACGGGAGGCAGCAGUGAGGAAUAUUGGUCAAUGGACGAGAGUCUGAACCAGCCAAGUAGCGUGAAGGAUGACUGCCCUAUGGGUUGUAAACUUCUUUUAUAUGGGAAUAAAAUGUUCCACGUGUGGGAUUUUGUAUGUACCAUAUGAAUAAGGAUCGGCUAACUCCGUGCCAGCAGCCGCGGUAAUACGGAGGAUCCGAGCGUUAUCCGGAUUUAUUGGGUUUAAAGGGAGCGUAGGUGGAUUCUUAAGUCAGUUGUGAAAGUUUGCGGCUCAACCGUAAAAUUGCAGUUGAAACUGGCAGUCUUGAGUACAGUAGAGGUGGGCGGAAUUCGUGGUGUAGCGGUGAAAUGCUUAGAUAUCACGAAGAACUCCGAUUGCGAAGGCAGUUCACUGGACUGCAACUGACACUGAGGCUCGAAAGUGUGGGUAUCAAACAGGAUUAGAUACCCGAGUAGUC
rnacentral:rRNA from 1 species